UGUUAAAUAUUAAAUUGAAGUUGAAAAUUCAAACAAAUAGUCCGACAUUUGGGCGAGUGUCCAUAUGUUCACUUUUUUUCGAUUUUUCUUCUGUAACUGUAUGCUUUGAAAAUGAGACUGACACAAGGUCUGCCACAAAACAAUUACAAAGCAACCAUAAAAAUUACCCGAGUUUUGUCGACAAAAACAUUCGAAAAAAUUAUUCUUUAUUCGCUAUUCCUGUUUGUUAUUCAUUCAUUUGCUAUUGUCGCUUCAUAUUUGUUAUUGUUUUACAUCAAACGUCAAAACCAGACCGAUAUCAAAAAUCGACCGAUGUCAAAAAGCUUUUAUUUGUGCGGCGAAUUCACUACCAUCUCCACUAGACAGUUUAAAGUUAUUACGUUCAACCACGUUCAACAUUUGCAAAGCGAAAGUUGGGUUAACUCGACCACGGUCUGGAUCCGGUGGAUUUCAGAAUCAACAAACAACACAACGAACAUUGCGUUCCAAUUUGGAUCAAGCGCGAAGCUCUUGACCGGAAGCCCUGGGUUUUGUGUGGGAUACAAACGUCCUACAUUAGCUACUAUUAGUAAUAAUAGAAAGUAACUGAAAUAAUGGAAAAAUUGUCGAAAGAGUGAUAGCCACUAUUCUAAAGAAUGAAUUAUUACCGUCGUAGAUAACGUUGACAACAGCACCAUGCACAUCAAAUGUCUUUGCAGCUAGAUUUAUUAUUAAUAACAAAUUUAUUAGUAUUAUUAUUAGUAAUAAAUUUAUUAAUGUUGUUAUUAAUAAUUAUGUUAAUUUCGAUAUUUAAAGGUUCUUUUCAUGUGAAUGAUUCAGAAUAAAAAUCCGACUGUACGCAGAGUCUAUAAAAGUGGAACACUGAGUUAUUUUAUAUAGUUUUAUUGUUGUAAUACAACAAGAAUUUGAUGUGGAAAAAACUCUAUUUUCUACUUUUUUACUCUGCGUACAAGUCGGAUUUUUAUUCUGACCCAUUCAUGUUUCAAAAAAAUCAGACUGAUUAAUGUCCUAAAAUACCUGCUGCAUUUUCGACAGCUAAUAUUGUUCCGCUCAAAUUAUCAAAACUUUUUUCGAUUUCCUGGACGUAGUUCGCUGGAAAAUAAUGCUGUCUUUUUCCACCGUAGUCUCCAGUCCACCAUAGAUCAAGUUCUUUUUUUCGAACAUUUGUUAUUAUUGAAUGUUUACAAAAAGACAAUUCAUCGUCAUUUUGUGCUUUGUAAUCGUACAAGGCUUUUACUGUUAUCUGCAAAUUG